rnacentral:rRNA from 1 species
GAUGAACGCUGGCGGCGUGCCUAAUACAUGCAAGUCGAGCGCACGGACGAGAAGCUUGCUUCUCUGAGAUUAGCGGCGGACGGGUGAGUAACACGUGGAUAACCUACCUAUAAGACUGGGAUAACUUCGGGAAACCAGAGCUAAUACCGCAUGAUAUUGUGAACCGCAUGGUUCAUAAGUGAAAGACGCUAUUGCUGUCACAUAUGGAUGGAUCCCGUCGGCAUUAGCUAGUUGGUAAGGUAACGGCUAACCAAGCCAACGUUGCAUAGCGGCCCGGAGAGGGGGUCCGGCCAAACGGGAACUGAGAACCGGCCCAGACUCCUACGGGAGGAAGCAGUAGGGAAUCUUGCGCAAUGGGCGAAAGCCGGACGGAGCAAGGCCGCGUGAGUGAUGAAGGUCUCCGGAUCGUAAACUUCUUUUAUUAGGAAAGAACAGUUGUGUAAGUAACUGUGCACACCUUGACGGUACCUAAUCAGAAAGCCACGGCUAACUACGUG